CUAUUCCUCUUCCUCUCUUCUUCCUCUCCUCUUCCUCUCUUCUUCCUCUCUUUUUCCUCUUCCUCUCCUCUUCCUCUUCCUCUCUUCUUCCUCUCCUCUUCCUCUCUUCUUCCUCUCUUUUUCCUCUUCCUCUUCCUCUCCUCUUCCUCUCUUCUUCUUCUUCCUCUUCCUCUUCCUCUUCCUUUCCUCUUUCUCUUCUCUUCCUUUGCUCUCCUCUUCCUCUUCCUCUCCCAUCCUCUUCCUCUCUUCUUCCUCUUCCUUCCCUCUUUCUCUUCCUCUCCUCUUCCUCUCUUCUUCCUCUCAUCUUCCUCUCCUCUUCCUCUUCCUCUUCCUCUCCCAUCCUCUUCCUCUCUUCUUCUUCUUCUUCUUCUUCUUCUUCUUCUUCCUUUCCUCUUUCUCUUCCUCUCCUCUUCCUCUCUUCUUCCUCUCCUCUUUCUCUUCCUUUUCCUUUCCUCUUCCUCUCUUCUUCCUCUCCUCUUCCUCUUCCGCUUCAUCUCCUCUUCCUCUCAUCUUCCUCUCGUCUUCCUCUUGUCUUCCUCUCACCUUCUUCUCCUCUUCUUCUCCUCUUCCUCUCGUCUUCCUCUCUUCUUCCUUUCCUCUUCCUCUCGUCUUCCUCUCUUCUUCCUCUCUUUUUCCUCUCUUCUUUCUCUCCUCUUCCUCUCCUCUUCCUCUCUUCUUCCUUUCCUCUUCUCUUCCUUUCCUCCUCCUCUCCUCUUCCUCCCCCAUCAUCUUCCUCUCUUGUUCCUCUUACUUUCCUCUUUUUCUUCCUCUCCUCUUUCUCUUCCUCUUCCUCUCCUCUUUCUAUUCCUCUUCCUCUCCUCUUCCGCAUGCUCUCCUCUUCCUCCUCCUCUCCUCUUCCUCUUCCUGUCCUCUUCCUCUCUUUUCCCUUUCUUCUUUCUCUCCUCUUCCUGUCCUCUUCCUCUCUUCUUCCUCUCCUCUUCCUCUCUUUUUCCUCUCUUCUUUCUCUCCUCUUCCUCUCCUCUUCCUCUCUUCUUCCUUUCCUCUUCUCUUCCUUUCCUCCUCCUCUCCUCUUCCUCCCCAUCAUCUUCCUCUCUUGUUCCUCUUCCUUUCCUCUUUCUCUUCUCUUCCUUUGCUCUCCUCUUCCUCUUCCUCUCCCAUCCUCUUCCUCUCUUCUUCCUCUUCCUUCCCUCUUUCUCUUCCUCUCCUCUUCCUCUCUUCUUCCUCUCAUCUUCCUCUCCUCUUCCUCUUCCUCUCCCAUCCUCUUCCUCUCUUCUUCUUCUUCUUCUUCUUCUCUUCUUCCUUUCCUCUUUCUCUUCCUCUCCUCUUCCUCUCUUCUUCCUCUCCUCUUUCUCUUCCUUUUCCUUUCCUCUUCCUCUCUUCUUCCUCUCCUCUUCCUCUUCCGCUUCAUCUCCUCUUCCUCUCAUCUUCCUCUCGUCUUCCUCUUGUCUUCCUCUCACCUUCUUCUCCUCUUCCUCUCCUCUUCCUCUCGUCUUCCUCUCUUCUUCCUUUCCUCUUCCUCUCGUCUUCCUCUCUUCUUCCUCUCUUUUUCCUCUCUUCUUUCUCUCCUCUUCCUCUCCUCUUCCUCUCUUCUUCCUUUCCUCCUCCUCUCCUCUUCCUCCCCCAUCAUCUUCCUCUCUUGUUCCUCUUACUUUCCUCUUUUUCUUCCUCUCCUCUUUCUCUUCCUCUUCCUCUCCUCUUUCUAUUCCUCUUCCUCUCCUCUUCCGCAUGCUCUCCUCUUCCUCCUCCUCUCCUCUUCCUCUUCCUGUCCUCUUCCUCUCUUUUCCCUUUCUUCUUUCUCUCCUCUUCCUGUCCUCUUCCUCUCUUCUUCCUCUCCUCUUCCUCUCUUUUUCCUCUCUUCUUUCUCUCCUCUUCCUCUCCUCUUCCUCUCUUUCCCUCUCUUCUUUCUCUCCUCUUCCUUUCUUCUUCCUCUCAUUUUCCUCUUCUUCUUCUUCCUCUCCUCUUCCUCUUCCUCUCCUCUUCCUCUCUACUUCCUGUCAGCUACCUGAUGUUGUGGGCAGUGACUUCAUGCCUCCUGCGGUGGAGGAAUUGAGCUACGCCUCGGUCCAGUUCAGACAGAAGAACCAGGCCCGAGCGGAGGAGCAGGAGGAGGAGGAGGCCACCGUCUACAGCUCAGUGGCCGUUAGAGGCUGAGUCCAUCAUAUCCAAUAAACAGCAUUAUAUACAGGAGUACCACCUCCUCAUAUACAGGAGUACCACCUCCUCAUAUACAGGAGUACCACCUCCUCAUAUACAGGAGUACCACCUCCUCAUAUACAGGAGUACCACCUCCUCAUAUACAGGAGUAAAAGCAGUAUAUAUGGUUAAUUAAUUUAUAUUGAAAUAUAGAUAUAUAUUUUAUGUAUGCAAGCGACAGAAAGCUUUCUGAUUGGACGAUUCCCACAGCAAUGCUCUGUGGGACUUGUAGAUUAUUCCAUGUAUAAUAUUACAGAAUUUUGUAAAAAGGAAGACAUAUUUGAUCAGAGUUUAAGCAGCGAGACUGCGCUGAAGUUUUCUGCUUUCACUUAUUAUGGAUUCAUUGACUUUUUGUAUUUUCCACCUCUCAGUUUUCACUUUUGCAUUUAAUCUGCUUUAAUGUGUUAUUUGUCUUUUAUGUAAAUAAAGAUUUUGAACAUUUUAAA